CAUUUUCAAAUUUAAUGAAUUUUCUUGUUGGAUUUGUUUUUGAUAGGCCACGGAACAGGAAACGGAUUUUGAAAUGUAUUUUUAUUGCUUGUUUCUGGCGGUGGUUCUGGAGACAGCGUGUCGAUCCAGCUGUAGAACGUCAUCCGGAGGUGGCAGAGUGUGAUGGCCAGCCACGCGGCGCGCGUAUCGACAUUGACCAGAAACUAUCACAUCAUCUCCAGGUCACUGGUCGAGGGCGCUCGAGCUGACGGUGUCUUCCGACGGCUCCACGGUGACCAGCGCCGCCACCGCCGAGACCAUCCGACUCCUGAAAUGCUAACGGCCUUGCAC